rnacentral:rRNA from 1 species
GAUGAACGCUGGCGGCGUGCCUAAUACAUGCAAGUCGAGCGAACAGACGAGGAGCUUGCUCCUAUGACGUUAGAGGCGGAGGGGUGAGUAACACGUGGAUAAAAUAACUAUAAGACAGGGAUAACUUCGGGAAAUCGGAGCUAAUAACGGAAAAUAUAUUGAACUGCAUGGUUCAAUAGUGAAAGACGGUUUUGGUGACACUUAUAGAUGGACACGGGCAUCAUUAGCUAGUUGGUAAGGUAACGGCUUAGCAAGGCAACGAUGCGUAGCCGACCUGAGAGGGUGAUCGCCCACACGGGAACUGAGACUCGUUCCAGACUCCUACGGUAGGCAGCAGUACGGAAUCUUCCGCGAUGGGCGAAAGCCUGACGGUGCAACACCGCGGGAGUGAUGAUGGACUUCUGCUCGUAAAGCGCUGUUAUUAGUAAAGUACAAAUGUUUAAGUAACUGUGCUCGUCUUGACGGUACCUAAUCAAAAAGCCACGGCUAACUACGUG